UAACAGUGGAUACAACAGUCCCAUAACUGUGACAACAUCUGGCCAUCUUGGCAGGGCAAGUCUAGUCUCUCUGCAUUGCUUUAUCCUACCUUCUGGAAGUGCAUAAGGAAAUCGUCAGUUUUUAUUUCGUUUGCACCUGUGACCCUACUUCUGGGUAAAACCUUUGAGGAAAAGCUGAAUUGUGUAGCUGACAGAAGCAGCAUAGCUGUCCUAGAACAUCAGACAGGCAAAAGAGCAGUAUCAAACUUGAAUAAAUCAACUAUGGAUGCCCGUUUUUUGAAUAAGUUUUGAAUAUUCUGCUGACAGACUGAUUUCUUCAUCUUAAUGGUGAUUUUCCAGCUUAGUAAAGGUUUCCUGUGAGAAACUGCCAGAAGCUUCUUCCAUGUCCAACAGAGCCAAUGCCAGCCAGCUCCAGGACUGAUGUGCCGCUGGUCAAGGCUGGGCCAAUUAGAAAUGAUGAGAACCCCUCUGUGAUAACAUAUUUAACAAGGAUAAAGAACAAAAAAGUUAUUGUACAGAUACAAUUGUGGCCAAAGACAAGUGGAGUGAAAAUGUAUGAGAGGAGCAGCAGUGUGGAGAAGGAGGGGCAGGAGGUGCACCAGGACCAGAGGAUUCCUCUGCAGCCUGUGGUGAAGACCAUGGUGAAGCAGCUGUGCCUCCGCAGCCCACAGGACACAGGGAUACAGAUAUCCACCUGCAGCACAUGGAGGAUGCCCCAUGCCAGAGCAGGGGGGUGCCUGAGAGGAGGCUGUGAUCCUGUGGCUCCUGGCAGGGACCUGCAGACCCAUGGAGAGAGGAGCCCAUGCUGGAACAGGUUUCCUGGUAGGAUUUGUGACCCUGUAGGAACCCAAACUGGAGCAGGUUAUGCCUGAAGGACUGCACCCCAUGGAAGAGUGACCCACACUGGAGCAGUUUGUGAAGAACUGUUGUCCAUGGGAUGGAUUCACACUGGAGAAAUUCUUGAAGAACUGUUUCCUGUAGGAGGCACACCGCACUGGAGAAAGGGAACCUAUGUGGAAUGAACCGACCACAACCUCCAUUCUCUGUCUCCUUGCUCUGCUGGGGGGAAGGAACUGGAGCCCGGGAAGGAGGGAGGACUGGGUGGUGGGGGAAGGUGUUUUUAAGAUAUAUUUUACUUUUCAUUAUCCUGCUCUCAUUUUGUUAAUAGUAAGUUUCAUGAAUAUCCCCCAUUUGAGUCUGUUCUGCCUGUGAAGGUAUUUGGACAAUGAGCUCUCUGUUCUUAUCUCAACUCAUGAACCCUCUGUUAUUUUUUUUCCUCCCUGUCCAGUUGUGAAGGUAAGUGAUAGAGAGGUUUUGGUGGGUGUCUGGUGUCCUGCCAGGGUCAACCCACUACUUAAAAAUAUACAUUGGAUAGGGGGUAUAGGGGGUUAUGUGAGUGUGUCUAUUGUUGUUGUUGCCUCUUCCAUGUUCUUUACAAGACAAAAUGUUCCUCUGCUAUAUUACAAGUCCCAUCCUCCUGUGACUCCUCCAUGUGCAAAGUGAAAUAUACAGACUCCCAGGACUUGGGGCAGAGGAACAGUAAGACUUUCCUUUUCUGGUGUGAGAAGAAAUCUUUAGUUACUAUUUUAUGCAGUAGCUAUAUUUUUUCCCUGAUGUGUUUCAGAUAAUUAAGUGCUUCCUAAAAUGUAAACUAUGGGAUUAGACAGCAGGUGUUUGCUUCAGGUAGUCAUAAACUCUUUUAAAAGACUUUGAAAUACCAAUAUCAGUUAAAAAGUCUUAGUGGUAAGUAUGCUACUGUGGAGAUUUAAUGGAAAUUUUCAAUUCAGUGCCUUUGUUCAAAGAAUGAUAUCAGGUUAUCAUUCAUCUGUGACAGAAGGUAUUCAACUGGAUGUUCCAAGAAACAUGCAUCCUCUUCUGAAGCCCAUGUGUGUGAACAUGAUUCUCUGAGCCUGAGAGAGUUUUCAGCCUGUCAGUGGCUGAUCUGUUCCCAAAGGAAAGUUUUCUGAGACAUGUUUCUCUCAAGGACUGUUUUUUUGUAAAUAGGUUUUUGGUUCUCAAAACAGUGUUGUACAGAUGUCCUGAGUGUUUUCUUUUGUUCCACCAAUGGGACCAGAGAGGCGUUCCCUUUACCAAUCAUGUUAAACCUGUACAGGAGCACCUUAUAAAAGGGGCUGAAAACCCUGAAAUAAAGGCUUCUGCCUUCUUGGGAUGAAACCUCUGCUGCUGUGAUUUGAAUCCACACUUCUGUUCCGUGUUCGCUAGUGGCACACGUGUACUGAAAUUCUACUGUAACACCCUGUGCUGUUUUCAGGACAGCACUGGUUUUGUCAGAUUCCUCAUUUCCUGCAUGCAUGACAUACCUGCCAAGGAUUCUGCUUGAGGCAAAACGAUCCUGCAUUCGGGUUUUUCAUCUCUUCCUCUAGCAAGCCUUUCCCACAUUUCUUAUGAUUUUUGUUGACCCUACUCUUAUCAUGUUAACUUCUUAUUUUCUUCCUUACUUUCUGUACUUCUAAGGAAAUGUUUUAGCUUUAAAACCAUCUGAAUAAUUGCUAAGAGAAUGAGAAGUUAUUGCAUGUUAAACAUCCAGAUGAAAUGAGUCAGGAACAGAUAUUGUCCGAUGGAAAAGAUCUAAAAUUUGUGAAAUUAUUUAAUUUAGAGAAACUGUAAUUAAAGAAUUUGAAAGUAAUCAGCUAACAUAAAAUGAAUGCACAAAAUAUGGUACAUCUUUAAUUUUUUCCCAACAUAUGAUGUGCAUAAUAGUUUUGACA